ACUAUCUUGACUGUUAUGGGUCUUAAGAGAUCUGAUAGUCUGUGUAGUUCAGUUGGUAUUCAAGGUGUUGCUUGGGCUUUUGGUGGUAUGAUCUUUGCUUUGGUUUACUGUACUGCUGGUAUCUCAGGUUAGUUUUUUCCUUUUCAUUUCUUGUUGUUUCUUAGUCAUUAUCUUGCUUAAAGUUUGUUCCUUUACUCUUAUUAUAGUAUUAGUAUAGCUUUUUGUGGCACCAUAUUUGAGCUUGUGGUUACUUAUUUUCUACAUCAUACUUUUGUCAAGUAAUUUUUUGGAUUCUUGAGCAUAAUAAGAUCUUGUUUUGUUACUGCUUGUCUUUUUGUGAGCCGAGGGUUUAUCGGAAUAGUCUUUCUAUAGUCUUUCUAUACUCAAGUAGGCUUAAGGCCUGCGUACCCGCCACCCUCCAUAGACCCGACCCGACUUUGUAGAAUUACACUGAUUUUUGUUGUUAUUCUUGAGGAUACUAAGAAAAAAAUAUCAGUUUUCCCUGUUUCAGUAGUUUAAGACAUGUUACUAUUAGUUUACUUUCUGUGUCUAAAUUACUGCCUCUUAUUAGUCAUUACCUUGCUAAAGCUUGUUCCUUUAACUUUUAUACUGUAAAAAUGUGAUCUUUUGUGGCUGAUUCUCUUUGUUUUCCUUUCUUUUGCUCACCAUAUUUUAACUUGUGGUUACUUACUUUGUGCUUACAACAUACUUUUGUUAAAUAAUUUAAUGGAUUCUUGAGUAUUUAUAAAAAAAGAUCGUUUUUUCCUGUUUUAGAGGUUAUAAACAUGUUAUUGGUUUACUUUCUGUGUCUAAAUUACAAGAAUGGAGUUUUCCCUUUAUCUUGUUUGCUCAAGCUUGUACCUUUACCUCUUUAUGCUAAAAUAUGACUUUUAGUGUGUGUGUGUGUUUGAAAAGUUACCAGUCUCAAAAAAAAAAAAAAAUACUGUGUUUUUUAUUGUUUGACAUUUUGUGGUUUUUUUUCUUUGCUCACCAUAUUGAGCUUGUGGUUACUUAUUGUUAUCAUAAAUCAUCUAAUUAUAUGGAUUCUUGAAUUUACUCACAAAAAGAUUCAGUCUUUCCCUAUUUUAGAAGCUCAAAACAUGUUAUUGUUUUACUCUCUGUCUAAAUUACAAAAGAUGGAGUCUUUUCCUUCUUUAGUUUGGCUUUUGGACCUAUGGGGUUUAUUUUUUUUCCCCCUCAAAAACUGAACUAUAUUGUGUUUUGAAAUGAAACAGGAGGACACAUCAACCCAGCUGUGACCUUUGGAUUGUUCUUGGCAAGGAAACUGUCCUUAACCAGGGCUAUUUUCUACAUAGUGAUGCAAUGCCUUGGUGCAAUUUGUGGUGCUGGUGUUGUGAAGGGAUUCAUGGUUGGUCCAUACCAGAGACUUGGUGGUGGUGCUAAUGUUGUUAACCAUGGUUACACCAAAGGUGAUGGCCUUGGUGCUGAAAUUAUUGGCACUUUUGUCCUUGUUUACACUGUUUUCUCUGCUACUG
rnacentral:lncRNA from 1 species